rnacentral:rRNA from 1 species
AUUCCAGCUCCAAUAGCGUAUAUUAAAGUUGUUGCGGUUAAAAAGCUCGUAGUUGGAGUUCUGCCAGGUGGCGCUCGUCCGCCCAAGUGGUGUGUACAGGGCGUGCAUCUGGCCCUUUCAAGGGGAACGUGUCUGCACUUCAUUGUGUGGUGCGAGAUCCUUGACUUUUACUUUGAGGAAAUAAGAGUGUUCCAAGCAGGCUCUCGUCGUGCAUAGCUCAGCAUGGAAUAAUAGCAUUGGACUUCGUUUCUACGCUGUUGGUUGCAAGAAGCGAGGUAAUGAUGAAGAGGAAUAGUUGGGGGCAUUCGUAUUUAACUGUCAGAGGUGAAAUUCUUGGAUUUACGGAAGACGAACGACUGCGAAAGCAUUUACCAAGGAUGUUUUCAUUA